UACAGAGGGGGCAAGCGUUGUCCGGAAUUACUGGGCGUAAAGCGCGCGUAGGCGGCUUUGCAAGCCGGAUGUGAAAUCCCCGGGCUUAACCUGGGAACUGCAUUCGGGACUGCAUUGCUAGAGUAUGGGAGAGGGAAGUGGAAUUUCCGGUGUAGCGGUGAAAUGCGUAGAUAUCGGAAGGAACAUCAGUGGCGAAAGCGACUUCCUGGACCAAUACUGACGCUCAUGUGCGAAAGCGUGGGGAGCAAACAGG
rnacentral:rRNA from 1 species